rnacentral:rRNA from 1 species
UACGUAGGGUGCAAGCGUUGUCCGGAAUUAUUGGGCGUAAAGAGCUCGGUAGGCGGCUUGUCGCGUCGGCUGUGAAAACCUGGGGCUCAACUCCGGGCCUGCAGCCGAUACGGGCAAGCUAGAAUUCGGUAGGGGAGACUGGAAUUCCUGGUGUAGCGGUGAAAUGCGCAGAUAUCAGGAGGAACACCGGUGGCGAAGGCGGGUCUCUGGGCCGAUAUUGACGCUGAGGAGCGAAAGCGUGGGGAGCGAACAGG